rnacentral:rRNA from 1 species
UACGUAGGGUGCGAGCGUUAAUCGGAAUUACUGGGCGUAAAGGGCGCGUAGGCGGCCUUCUCAGUCGGACGUGAAAUCCCCGGGCUUAACUCGGGAACUGCGUCGAUCACUGGAAGGCUGGAAUUCGGGAGAGGGAUGCAGAAUUCCAGGUGUAGCGGUGAAAUGCGUAGAUAUCUGGAGGAAUACCGGUGGCGAAGGCGGCAUCCUGGACCGACAUUGACGCUGAGGAGCGAAAAGCUAGGGGAGCAACGGG